rnacentral:rRNA from 1 species
GAUGAACGCUGGCGGCGUGCCUAAUACAUGCAAGUCGAGCGAACGGACGAGAAGCUUGCUUCUCUGAUGUUAGCGGCGGACGGGUGAGUAACACGUGGAUAACCUACCUAUAAGACUGGGAUAACUUCGGGAAACCGUAGCUAAUACCGGAUAAUAUUUUGAACCGCAUGGUUCAAAAGUGAAAGACGGUCUUGCUGUCACUUAUAGAUGGAUCCGCGCUGCAUUAGCUAGUUGGUAAGGUAACGGCUUACCAAGGCAACGAUGCAUAGCCGACCUGAGAGGGUGAUCGGCCACACUGGAACUGAGACACGGUACUGACUCCGACGGGAGGCAGCAGUAGGGAAUCUUCCGCAAUGGGCGAAAGCCUGACGGAGCAACGCCGCGUGAGUGAUGAAGGUCUUCGGAUCGUAAAACUCUGUUAUUAGGGAAGAACAUAUGUGUAAGUAACUGUGCACAUCUUGACGGUACCUAAACAGAAAGCCACGGCUAACUACGUG